GAUGAACGCUAGCGGCAGGCCUAACACAUGCAAGUCGAGGGGGAGGUUACUUUCGGGUAACUGAGACCGGCGUACGGGUGCGUAACGCGUAUACAAUCUGCCUUUCACUGGGGGAUAGCCCGAAGAAAUUUGGAUUAAUACCCCAUAGUAUAGUAAUACGGCAUCGUGAUGCUAUUAAAGCUUAGGAGGUGAAAGAUGAGUAUGCGUUCUAUUAGCUAGUUGGAGAGGUAACGGCUCCCCAAGGCGAUGAUAGAUAGGGGUUCUGAGAGGGAUGUCCCCCGCACUGGUACAGGGAUACCGACCAGGCUCCUACGAGACGCAGCAGUGAGGGAUAUUGGGCAGUGGUCGGGAGACUGAUCCAGCCAUGCCGCGUGCAGGAUAAAGGUCUUAGGGAUUGUAAACUGCUUUUGUGAGGGAAGAAUAAGGGCUACGCGUAGUUUAAUGACGGUACCUUACGAAUAAGCAUCGGCUAACUCCGUG
rnacentral:rRNA from 1 species